GCUGCCUUAGCUCAGUCGGUAGAGUAGAGGACUUUUAAUCCUCGGGUCGGGGGUUCGAGCCCCCCAGGCAGCG
rfam:Capsaspora owczarzaki ATCC 30864 unplaced genomic scaffold supercont2.5, whole genome shotgun sequence.